rnacentral:lncRNA from 1 species
AGCUUCAAGUCAAAGGAAUACGUGCGUGAAACUUUUGCUUGGAUGCAUUACUAUUGGUACCUUACAAAUGAUGGCAUUGAGUUCUUAAGGACUUACCUGAACCUUCCUUCUGAGAUUGUUCCUGCUACUUUGAAGAAACAAGCUAAACCUGCUGGUCGUCCCAUGGGCCCUCCCGGUGACCGUCCACGGUAAUGGUUUCAUUCUUUCAAAAUUUGCUACUCUUUGAUUUUUUCCUAUGUUGGUUGAUGAAAAUUUGUUGCUUUGUUAAUUUUUAUGCUGGUUUUGAAUGUAUCAGCGGCCCACCACGCUUUGGUGACGGUGAGAGGAGAUUUGGUGACAGAGAUGGCUAUCGCGGUGGUCCUCGAGGAGGCGGUGAUUUUGGUGAUAAAGGAGGAGCUCCAGCUGAUUAUCAGCCUUCAUUCAGGGUAAUGCUUCUUUCAAUAAUUUUGGGACCUUUUUUUAAAUAUAUAUUGGCUGUUUUGUUACCACUUGGAUUAUGACUUUGUUUACAAAGUUAGGCUUGUCUGUAUGAGGUUUAGGGUUUUUACAGUAGUUCUUAGCUGUCUUAGUUAUGACCAAUUAUGGAAUUAUUUGUUUGCUUUUUGGUAUUUGCAUACCGUGUUACUGUCUCUGAUGUGGGGUAUGUUCAUUUUUUUAAAGUUUUCCAUGCAUUUCAAGAAUCCUUAGAGGAUUGGAUCCUCACACCCAUAUUCGAAAAUGUGUUUGACACAUGUGUCGGAUACGAAUAUUUCAAGAAUAAUGAAGAGUCUUGAGUAACUUGGUUUACUUGUUUUGUUCCACCAGCUUAGUUUCAAAUAUGAAAAUGAAUUUUGUACCUGAGAUUUUAAUGCCUAUAGUGGCUUAAUAUAAGCUGUGAACGAGUGUUGGGCUUGCUAUGAUGUUAUUCUUCUUUGAAGAAUGCAGUUUCAUAUAAUUUGCUUGCACCAUAUCAAUGAGGUUAUUUAUCUUAUAAUAGAGAAGCUGAUAUAAUUUCAUUGUCUUACUUGUGAACGCCCAGGGCCCUGGAACACGGCCUGCUUUUGGUCGUGGAGGUGGUGGUUAUGGUGGUGCUGGACCUGCUGGUCUUCCUUGAGAGAUGAUUUUUCAUGAUGGAUAAUUUUGUCAGUUUAGGUUUGUUAUCAUAUGGAGUUCAUAGAAGUACUUGGCUUAUGCUUCAAUGUUCGGUAAUUUUGGUUUGAUGCUUAAAAACGCUGCUUCUCUUUGG